UAAACCUUUAUGUUAGUUAACUUUGUUCAACUUUAUUUUUUAGGAAAGUUGAAGGACUGGCUUAGGGAAGCAGAAUCUUUCAUAUUUUUUUCCUUUAAUACUUGCCCUUAAAUUUUAUGUUGAGAUAUAAUGGGGUCCUUGAUUCACGCUUGAAUUUGAAAUGUCAUAUUAUAAGGUGCAUCUCGGAGUUGGUGUUGAAAAAUAAAGAAGUGUCUGGGGUAUCUGUUUGAAGUGCAAAAAGGUUUUAAAUUUUUUUUGUUGGUUCUGAUCCUGGAUUAUCCUGUUUACAGUAUAUGUAUGAUAUUGCAAUAUUUCAAACUUGCUACUGAAUUCUGAAAGUUUGGAGUUCUUUGUGGUUUGGAAUUAGAAAUGGAGGGAAUCUGUGAAUUCUGCACAGCAUUCAGGCCAGUUGUUUAUUGGAAGGUCCAUUCAGCUAAUGCACUGUCUAACCGGCAUCUCAGAACCCCUCCUUUGUGACUCAUGCAGAAAUGAACCAGCUUAUAUUCGGUGUUCAGAUCAUCAAAUGUUUAUGUGUCAUGGAUGUGAUCAGUCUUCAUGAUGUCACUUUGCAAACAUCAGACAAGGGUUAUCAGUAAUUAUAUGGGAUGCCCUUCUGCAAUAGAUUUUGUGAUACUGUAGGGUUUUUGAGUUGAGUGAGUUGGAAAAUAGUGGUUUUCAGAAUUGGUUUGCUUCCACUUCAUGUGGUCCUUCAGAUCCAACUGCUGAUUAUUCAGGUAUUUCAGGACAGUCUUCUCCACAACUUAAAGGCUUUUCAGUUGCAUCUAAAGUGAGCUCUGCGACAUUUUGUCUCAGGUGCAGAUCCUGAAACUGGAUCAAGCAGUCAAAGAAUUCAGGUGAGCUUUGAUUCAUUGACCUUCAAUCAAAUAUAUUACUUUUGAUUGUUGGGCUUCUUAAAAUUCGUCUGUCUUUAAAACUUGAUUUCUUGAACAUCUGCUUCAAUUAAGAAGUUCAUGCCCCUGGAAUAAUUAACAUCGGUAGCUGCAAAUUGUCUUUCAAACAUUGAAGGUCCCUCAAGUUUCACCAGUCCUUCAGUGGUGGAGGAGGUAUAACUUUCAGAAGUUGUCCUUAUAAAUUUUAUAACUUGAACAACCUGUCAUUUUUUUUCUAAUUGUAAUCAAAGAGCAGGGCUCUGGUUAACAUGCCAGAAGUAAUUAGCCUAGAGAAACUUGCCGCUGCUCUGGAUGAUGAUGAGGGUUGUCUGCAAAAUGUACUGACAAGCAAAGCUCCACUUUAAAAAUGAGCUGCAACCACAUUUGUUAUGUUAAUGAAUCAACUAUAAGGAUCCGGAAGAAUUUUGAAUGUGGAAUCAAAUCUUCUUCUGCUGUUACACUCCAUGCCAUCCUCUUUAAUGCAAACGGUACUUUGUGAAGAUAAAAAGCAGCAAAGCAGUUCUGUUAUUUUGAAACAGAAUUCUUGACUUGAAAAGACUUACGCUAGCGGAGGGAAAUAGCCGUUUGCCUAUGAUACACCAACAAGAAGAAAUUACUUCAAUACAUUGCCUUCCAAAGGAGCUUGAUGAAUCUCUUGAACAGAAUUUAAAGCGUCUUCAAGCCCAGGAUUUGGCUCCUGAUCUUCAGCAAAGUGACAACACACUUCAAGAGCUUACAGUUGUUCCUUUGCUUUCACCAUUUUCCGAACUGGAGCAUGUACCAUUAAAUGGAGAAUCAUUUUGCCAAUGCAAAAGUCCAGCUCAAAGCAAUCAGGUUUGGUCAAAUUAUCCCAAGUUAUUCAAUUGAAUCAUUAACAGUAGACCACUCGAUUUUUUCCAAUUAUUGAUAUAUCACUAUCUCUGAGUGUCUUCAAAAUUAGAAUUUCUCUAAAUAUAAGUUUACAUCAAGAAUGAGUGGACUUUGGCUCUAUCUGAAAAGGGAGAACUCUUUUUUCUUCUCGACUCUUAUUUUCAAUUUCCACUCCAAAUGAAGUUCAUAACCGACUGAAAAUGUUGAAGUCCUUGAUUGACACCAACUUCAAUGUGGUCUGGACAUCCCAAGCAUUUUGGCACUUCUCAAGUCACUCCUGCGUUUUUUUCUUUUUUGAUCUUUUCACCAUUCAUGAACUUUUGCUCCAAUUGGGGCAGAAAUGGUGCAAAUGCUCACAAACCUUGGUGACUAGGUUUUGUUACUUGGAAAAAUUGUUUAUAUUGGAGAAAAUGUCACAAAAUCCAUAACAUUAUUAUACUGAGCUUUAUCUUUUCACUUAAUGCUCUCCAAAUCCUACAAGCUGCAUCAAAAACUGGGUUUUUGAAAUUUUCUAAAACAAUUAGCCCUACAUUGUCAAGCCUUCAGGCUAGUUUAUCUUUUUAUGGAAUCUUUGUAUGUAUUAUUCUGUAUUUUGCAUUGAAACUAGGGCUGGAGUCGCACCAAAUUGAGCCUGAACAUGGGUUGAUUUGAGUUCAGUUUGAAUCUGAGUUGUUGAACUAUAACUUUAAUUUAAGAUUGAUUCGUUUAAAUUGAGUCAACUCGGAUGGGAUUUACCGCUAAAUGACGUUGAAAACAUGUUGGGAACUAACGUAAAUACAUCUCAAUUGGCCAAAACAAGUUCAACAUACAUUUCUUGUUGAACAUAAAUUCGAUUCUGGCGCUUGGUGAUUACUACUACUAGAAAAUGCCAAACAUUGGUCGAAUUAAUGGGAGGGAUUAUGGAGAACUAUAAUAUUUAACUGGAAAAUGUUGUGGUUUUCUCUUUUAGCAAAUAUAAUCUAUUGGUUCUGUAAUA